UACGAAGGGGGCUAGCGUUGUUCGGAAUUACUGGGCGUAAAGCGCACGUAGGCGGAUUAGUAAGUCAGGGGUGAAAUCCCGGGGCUCAACCUCGCAACUGCCUUUGAUACUGCUGAGCUCGAGUCCGGAACAGGUGAGUGGAAUUCCUAGUGUAGAGGUGAAAUUCGUAGAUAGUAGGAAGAACACCAGUGGCGAAGGCGGCUCACUGGUCCGAAACUGACGCUGAGGUGCGAAAGCGUGGGGAGCAAACAGG
rnacentral:rRNA from 1 species